AUUGAACGCUGGCGGCAUGCCUUACACAUGCAAGUCGAACGGCAGCACGGGAGCUUGCUCCUGGUGGCGAGUGGCGAACGGGUGAGUAAUGCAUCGGAACGUACCCGGACGUGGGGGAUAACGUAGCGAAAGUUACGCUAAUACCGCAUAUUCUGUGAGCAGGAAAGAGGGGGAUCGUAAGACCUCUCGCUUUCGGAGCGGCCGAUGUCGGAUUAGCUAGUUGGUGGGGUAAAGGCCUACCAAGGCGACGAUCCGUAGCGGGUCUGAGAGGAUGAUUCGCCACACUGGAACUGAGACACGGUCCAGACGCCUACGGGAGGCAGCAGUGGGGAAUUUUGGACAAUGGGCGAAAGCCUGAUCCAGCCAUGCCGCGUGAGUGAAGAAGGCCUUCGGGUUGUAAAGCUCUUUCGGCUGAAAAGAAAUCGCACAGGCUAAUACCUUGUGUGGAUGACGGUAUCAGCAUAAGAAGCACCGGCUAACUACGUGCCAGCCGCCGCCGUAAUAC
rnacentral:rRNA from 1 species